rnacentral:rRNA from 1 species
UACGUAGGGUGCGAGCGUUAAUCGGAAUUACUGGGCGGAAAGGGUGCGCAGGCGGUUCUGCAAGGCAGGCGGGAAAUCCCCGGGCUUAACCUGGGAAUGGCGCUUGAAACUACGGGACUGGAGUAUGGCAGAGGGAGGUGGAAUUCCACGUGUAGCGGUGAAAUGCGUAGAGAUGUGGAGGAACACCGAUGGCGAAGGCAGACUCCUGGGCCAAUACUGACGCUCAUGCACGAAAGCGUGGGGAGCAAACAGG